AGCUUUGCGCAGUGGCAGUAUCAUAGCCAAUUAGGUUCAUCGAAGGUGCGAUUAUUGCUAAUUGAAAACUUUCCCCAAUACUCCGCCCUGAUGACUUGCAAUAUAGUCGGCACUGGAAAUUGUUGGCAGUCCCUACAGGA
rnacentral:snRNA from 1 species